rnacentral:rRNA from 1 species
GACGAACGCUGGCGGCGUGCUUAACACAUGCAAGUCGAACGGAAAGGGGCUGCUUUCGCCGGGUUCUAGAGGGGCGAACGGGAGAAAAACCCAUGAAUAACCUGGCCAUGACUUUGGGACGACUUCAGGCGACCGGGGAUAAUACAUGAGUGGUGAGCCUGAAGGAUGGGGGGGGUCGGAAAGCAUCGGCGGUUGGGGAUGGACUUGGGGCUUAUCAGCUUGUUGGUGGGGUAGCGGCUUACCCAGGGUUUGAUGGGUAGUCGGCCAGGGAGGUUGACCAGCCACAUUGGGACUGAGGUACGGCCCAGACUCCUACGGGAGGCAGCAGUGGAGAAUAUUGCACAAUGGGCGGAAGCGUGUGGCAGCAGCCCCGCGUGCGUGAUGACGGCUUUCGGGUUGUAAACCGCUUUCGGCUGUGACGAAGCGGGAGUGACGGUAAUGAGAAAAGAAGCACCGGCUAACUACGUG